CCUACGGGUGGCUGCAGUGGGGAAUAUUGGGCAAUGGGCGCAAGCCUGACCCAGCAACGCCGCGUGAAGGAAGAAGGCUUUCGGGUUGUAAACUUCUUUUCUUAGGGACGAAGCAAGUGUCGGUACCUGAGGAAUAAGUCACGGCCAACUACGUGCCAGCAGCCGCGGUAAUACGUAGGUGGCAAGCGUUCUUCGGAUUUAAUGGGUGUAAAGGGCGUGUAGGCGGGGACGUAAAGCAGAUGUGAAAAACACGUGCUUAACCUGUGGCCUGCAUUUGAAACUGUGUUUCUUGAGUACUGGAGAGGCAGGCGGAAUUCCUAGUGUAGCGGUGAAAUGCGUAGAUAUUAGUAAGAACACCGGUGGCGAAGGCGGUCUGCUGGACAGCUACUGACGCUGAGGCGCGAAAGCGUGGGGAGCAAACAGGAUUAGAUACCCCUGUAGUC
rnacentral:rRNA from 1 species